rnacentral:rRNA from 1 species
UCUUCCACAAUGGGGGCAACCCUGAUGGAGCAACGCCGCGUGCAGGAUGAAGGCCUUCGGGUUGUAAACUGCUUUUAUGAGUGAAGAAUAUGACGGUAACUCAUGAAUAAGCACCGGCUAACUACGUGCCAGCAGCCGCGGUCAUACGUAGGGUGCAAGCAUUAUCCGGAGUGACUGGGCGUAAAGAGUUGCGUAGGCGGCUUAAUAAGUGAAUAGUGAAAGCUGGUGGCUCAACCACACAGACUAUUAUUCAAACUGUUAAGCUCGAGAAUGGUAGAGGUAACUGGAAUUUCUUGUGUAGGAGUGAAAUCCGUAGAUAUAAGAAGGAACACCAAUGGCGUAGGCAGGUUACUGGACCAUUUCUGACGCUAAGGCACGAAAGCGUGGGGAGCGAACCGG